rnacentral:rRNA from 1 species
CUGGUCGAGUCGGCCUGCGCGGAAGAUGUAACGGGGCUAAACCAUGCACCGAAGCUGCGGCAGCGACGCUUAUGCGUUGUUGGGUAGGGGAGCGUUCUGUAAGCCUGCGAAGGUGGCCUGUGAGGGUUGCUGGAGGUAUCAGAAGUGCGAAUGCUGACAUAAGUAACGAUAAAGCGGGUGAAAAGCCCGCUCGCCGGAAGACCAAGGGUUCCUGUCCAACGUUAAUCGGGGCAGGGUGAGUCGACCCCUAAGGCGAGGCCGAAAGGCGUAGUCGAUGGGAAACGGGUUAAUAUUCCCGUACUUGGUGUUACUGCGAAGGGGGGACGGAGAAGGCUAUGUUGGCCGGGCGACGGUUGUCCCGGUUUAAGCGUGUAGGUGUGUGUUCCAGGUAAAUCCGGUUCACUUUAACACUGAGGCGUGACGACGAGGCACUACGGUGCUGAAGCAACAAAUGCCCUGCUUCCAGGAAAAGCCUCUAAGCAUCAGGUAACAUCAAAUCGUACCCCAAACCGACACAGGUGGUCAGGUAGAGAAUACCAAGGCGCUUGAGAGAACUCGGGUGAAGGAACUAGGCAAAAUGGUGCCGUAACUUCGGGAGAAGGCACGCUGACACGUAGGUGAAGUGAUUUACUCAUGGAGCUGAAGUCAGUCGAAGAUACCAGCUGGCUGCAACUGUUUAUUAAAAACACAGCACUGUGCAAACACGAAAGUGGACGUAUACGGUGUGACGCCUGCCCGGUGCCGGAAGGUUAAUUGAUGGGGUCAGCGCAAGCGAAGCUCCUGAUCGAAGCCCCGGUAAACGGCGGCCGUAACUAUAACGGUCCUAAGGUAGCGAAAUUCCUUGUCGGGUAAGUUCCGACCUGCACGAAUGGCGUAAUGAUGGCCAGGCUGUCUCCACCCGAGACUCAGUGAAAUUGAACUCGCUGUGAAGAUGCAGUGUACCCGCGGCAAGACGGAAAGACCCCGUGAACCUUUACUAUAGCUUGACACUGAACAUUGAGCCUUGAUGUGUAGGAUAGGUGGGAGGCUUUGAAGUGUGGACGCCAGUCUGCAUGGAGCCGACCUUGAAAUACCACCCUUUAAUGUUUGAUGUUCUAACGUGGACCCGUUACCCGGGUUGCGGACAGUGUCUGGUGGGUAGUUUGACUGGGGCGGUCUCCUCCUAAAGAGUAACGGAGGAGCACGAAGGUUGGCUAAUCCUGGUCGGACAUCAGGAGGUUAGUGCAAUGGCAUAAGCCAGCUUGACUGCGAGCGUGACGGCGCGAGCAGGUGCGAAAGCAGGUCAUAGUGAUCCGGUGGUUCUGAAUGGAAGGGCCAUCGCUCAACGGAUAAAAGGUACUCCGGGGAUAACAGGCUGAUACCGCCCAAGAGUUCAUAUCGACGGCGGUGUUUGGCACCUCGAUGUCGGCUCAUCACAUCCUGGGGCUGAAGUAGGUCCCAAGGGUAUGGCUGUUCGCCAUUUAAAGUGGUACGCGAGCUGGGUUUAGAACGUCGUGAGACAGUUCGGUCCCUAUCUGCCGUGGGCGCUGGAGAACUGAGGGGGGCUGCUCCUAGUACGAGAGGACCGGAGUGGACGCAUCACUGGUGUUCGGGUUGUCAUGCCAAUGGCACUGCCCGGUAGCUAAAUGCGGAAGAGAUAAGUGCUGAAAGCAUCUAAGCACGAAACUUGCCCCGAG